rnacentral:rRNA from 1 species
CCUACGGGUGGCAGCAGUGGGGAAUAUUGCGCAAUGGGCGAAAGCCUGACGCAGCGACGCCGCGUGAGGGAUGAAGGUCUUCGGAUCGUAAACCUCUGUCUGCAGGGGAGAAAGGUCACUGUGCUAAUCAGCAGUGAAUUGACGGUACCUGCAAAGGAAGCACCGGCUAACUCCGUGCCAGCAGACGCGGUAAUACGGAGGGUGCGUGCGGUAAUUGGAAUUAUUGGGCGUAAAGCGCUCGUAGGAGGUAUGUCAAGUCAAGGGUGAAAUGCCCGCGGUCAACGUGGGAACUGCCUUUGAAACGGGCAAACUGGAGUGGGUGAGAGGAUAGUGGAAUGCCAGGUGUAGGAGUGAAAUCCGUAGAUAUCUGGAGGAACAUCAGGGGCGAAGGCGACUAUCUGGCACAUAACUGACGCUGAGGAGCGAAAGCGUGGGUAGCAAACAGGAUUAGAUACCCUUGUAGUC